rnacentral:rRNA from 1 species
AGCGAACGCUGGCGGCAGGCCUAACACAUGCAAUUCGAACGAAGUCUUCGGACUUAGUGGCGGACGGGUGAGUAACACGUGGGAACGUGCCUUUAGGGUCGGAAUAACUCAGGGAAACUUGUGCUAAUACCGAAUGUGCCCUUCGGGGGAAAGAUUUUUCGCCUUUAGAGCGGCCCGCGCCUGAUUAGCUAGUUGGUGAGGUAAUGGUUCACCAAGGCUACGUUGAGUAGCUGGUCUGAGAGAAUGACCAGCCACAUGGGAACUGAGACACGGCCCAAACGCCUACGGGAGGCAGCAGUGGGGAAUCUUGCGCAAUGGGCGAAAGCCUGACGCAGCCAUGCCGCGUGGAUGAUGAAGGUCUUAGGAUUGUAAAAUCCUUUCACCGGUGAAGAUAAUGACUGUAGCCGGAGAAGAAGCCUCGGCUAACUUCGUGCCAGCCGCCGCCGUAAUAC